rnacentral:rRNA from 1 species
UCUGGUGAUGAUAGCGAAGAGGUCACACCCGUUCCCAUACCGAACACGGAAGUUAAGCUCUUCAGCGCCGAUGGUAGUCGGGGGUUUCCCCCUGUGAGAGUAGGACAUCGCCAGGC